rnacentral:rRNA from 1 species
UACGUAGGUCCCGAGCGUUGUCCGGAUUUAUUGGGCGUAAAGCGAGCGCAGGUGGUUUAUUAAGUCUGGUGUAAAAGGCAGUGGCUCAACCAUUGUAUGCUUUGGAAACUGGUAGACUUGAGUGCAGGAGAGGAGAGUGGAAUUCCAUGUGUAGCGGUGAAAUGCGUAGAUAUAUGGAGGAACACCGGUGGCGAAAGCGGCUCUCUGGCCUGUAACUGACACUGAGGCUCGAAAGCGUGGGGAGCGAACAGG